AUUCUGUAAAAACAGUGAGUGAGUGAGUUUGUUUUACGCUGUAGUGACAAAUAUUUGUGCGGCCUGAGUCAGUUGUAUUCCACUCCGUCAGGGCAAAACAAUAUCGACCAGAACAUACAUUAUAUUCACUUGCUCAUUUCAGUCAGCCAUUACGAAACGCAUAGUGCUUGGGACUCAUCCUGAUUUUAGAAUACCCAGGACGGUAGAGAUUUAAAGCGAUACGUGGGACAUGUGUGUUUGGAGGAUACGAUUGUGAAACAAUUCAUCAAACGUUAGUGGAAAGUCUUUGCAUGUGACGUCGCGGCAGCCUAGCAGCCUAGCACCGUGUGUGUCAACCAAUGACUGCACGACACCUUCUGCCCAUGGAACCAAGUUGCAUGUGGAUGGCAUCUUAUUGAAUGGCAGCCAUGACGAGCUUGACGUAAUUGGCGCAGAUGCAGUGGGACAGAUUCACGUUGACGUACACGUCUGUCCCACAGAUGAUCCGAUGACGGAUAUACUCUGACCUCUCAGGUAAUCAGUACAGUACUGUUAGGGAAUAAGCAUUGUCAUGAAAAGUGACGCGUGGUGCUCGCAGAUCCAGGACGACGUCACUAUAACGCACACCUGUUAAGUUUCACUAUGUAAACAAGAUCUGUCGACUUAUCUGCAACAUCCGGGGAAACGCUCAUACCGCCGUCGAUAUGCACGGAUCCGCCAACCCCUCCUCUGAUGGAGGACACGGGAUUCGUCACUAAACCAAACGCUACGUCACCGUUGGUGAAGCCACUGAAGGGCAGAAGGCCUCCGUGUUUGGACCAGGAUCACGGUAUACUUCUCAUGGUAUAACAAAGAGGAGAGCAGAUGUCUGAUGAAUCAAGGGAGAUAAUACAGUGUGUUAAGAACUGACCACGUACCUCGACAUCAGGAGACCCGAAGGAUGUGACAAAUCAUCGUUGCGCUAAAGACUAUAUGCUUUUAGGGUGGUGCUCAGAUAUUUUGUUUCCUUAACAUGUUUUGAUUUAAACAUAUUUUAUUCAGAUUGAAAUGGAUUGGGAACAAGUUAUCCAACUUAGGACUCCCUCUCCAUGGUAUUUACAAAGCUUGUACAGUAAAUCAUAUACAAGGAAAACAGAAAAGAAGAUGAGUGUAAAGAUAACAAGAAAUGUACAAGAGAGAGACUAGUAUAUGUACAUUAAAGUGUUACCCAAAUCUCUUUGUAUGACUUAAAAACAUUUGCACUGCUUUAAAGAUGUGUUUAUUUUCG